UGUGAUACUGAUACAUGUGCUACAUUGAUGUGGACAUCUGCCAUGUUCAACUUUUCUCCUCACAAAAACCCUGCCACCUCUUAAUGACAGACACCAUUGGUCGUGUGAUGAAAAUCUGGCCCAAAACUAAAUAUUUGGACCCCUGCACCCACCCAUAAUGGGGAGAAGGCGGAUUCAACUGAACUCUUUUGACUGACAAGAAAGGAAAACCACACACGCCAACAGCAAACCCACAAGUAAGACGCUUUAGAACUGCCUCCUGUUCUCUGUGCCGAAGAACAGCUUCAACUCAUCGCAGCCAACAGGGGGAAGAGAAACCCUGAAAACUAUCAACGUUAUUACCAUUCUAACUUCAAUUAAGUUGGACCAUGAUCAUAUUGGUGGCAGUCAUGUUAUCAGUUUUUGCUUUGGACAAGGCCCAUGGAAAUCCUGUGUCCCAACCCGAACCUCUUGUUUCUGUCCGAGAGGGCCAGCCUGUUUUUUUGCCAUGUGUCUACGAGUCCAAUUUCUCCACCGCUUCCAACCAGCUUUUCUGGUACGAACAACAGCCUUCUGGUGCCCCUCAGCAACUGCUGUCUAGCUACGAAGAGACCAAAGAGGGAAGAAGAGAAUUUUCGGCACAGAACAAGGCCAAGUCCUUCAAUCUGACAAAAAGGGCUGCCGAGCUGAGAGACUCAACUGUCUACUUCUGCGUCUUGAUGGACACAGUGGAGAGAACAGCAGCAGGGCUGGCACAAAAACCCGCCUAGAGGCAGAGUCGAAACUAAUGCCUUGCACAGCAUGAACUAGAAAUGUCAUGCAGCGCUUCUAAUCUACCAAGUUUGUGCAUGAAGCUCACAUUUUUCAUGCUCCUAAGCUGGUUUCUGUCAGGAACACUGAAAACAUUUUUGUUAUAGUUGAUGAAUUGUUAGCAACCAUGCUAGCAAGUCAACCGCAGCUGAGCUCUUUCAGGAAACCAGGUCAU